CCUACGGGAGGCAGCAGUGGGGAAUCUUGCGCAAUGGGCGAAAGCCUGACGCAGCAACGCCGCGUGCGGGAAGAAGGCUUUCGGGCUGUAAACCGCUCUCAGCAGGAACGAAAAUGACGGUACCUGCAGAAGAAGGAGCGGCCAACUAUGUGCCAGCAGCCGCGGUGAUACAUAGGCUUCAAGCGUUGUCCGGAUUUAUUGGGCGUAAAGAGUUCGUAGGCGGUCGAGUAAGUCGGGUGUGAAAAUUCUGGGCUCAACCCAGAGACGCCACCCGAUACUGCUUAACUUGAGUUCGAUAGGGGAGUGGGGAAUUCCUAGUGUAGCGGUGAAAUGCGCAGAUAUUAGGAGGAACACCGGUGGCGAAGGCGCCACUCUGGAUCGAUACUGACGCUGAGGAACGAAAGCAUGGGUAGCAAACAGGAUUAGAUACCCUGGUAGUCCAUGCCGUAAACGGUGGGCACUAGGUGUGGGAUUCUAUUAACGAAUUCCGCGCCGUCGCUAACGCAUUAAGUGCCCCGCCUGGGGGAGGUACGGUCGCGAGACUAAACUAAAGUAAGUAGACGCGNGAGACGNGCCGACGACGACGACGAGGGAGUAGG
rnacentral:rRNA from 1 species